AGGUCAUGCAAAUUUAGUGCUGGCUGUUGCUUCUGUAAGGUGAAAAGUAUGAACAAUUCAUGAAUAUUUCAUCAUUUGUUUCUGCACUGGUCAGAAAUGAUAAUUUGAGCUCCAGACUGUAGAGAUUUAGCAAAAAGACUUGGACACUCAGAGGAUAAAGAUUUUUUUUUAAAAAGUGCUUUUGAGAGGAUUUUUCCUUGCCAGUGCUGAUUUGUAGACAAGUUGUCUAAAGGAUAUGAAGCUGGGAUAAUCUAUUGAGGGUACAUAUUUGGGCUGUGCUACUGAAGCAACUCAUGAUCUGCAAUGCAUUUAACACUAUAAUGUUAUUUUUUAUUUACCUUUUUUUUCUUUUCCUUCAGAGAACAACUGAAAGCACCGUGUCACCCAAGAUCGCAGGCAGAGCAUCAUACAGAAGGCAGCCUUGGGCAGAGUCUUCAUUCACCUCAGGCUUGAUGUGCACCACCAUCUUCCUCAGGACAUGAGCACUGCCCUGGAAAGGCUGUGAAGGGGAAAGUGUCAGCAAAGGUGUUAUAGCUAAAGGGAUCUGGAUGUGUAAAUGAUACAAGCUGGGUUUAUGCUGCUGCUGGGUAAAGCACAGUCCUCAUCUGCCUCCAGGUGGGGGAUUUGACUUGCCCAGGUGAUGCUGCUGAUGAACGUGGGGCAAGGGGAUAUAAAUGCUCCCCAGCAGAAUAGUAGGAUGGGUCAUGGCAGCCUUGGAGAAGUGUGACAUGCUGGAGAGGGGAAAGGCUGUGGUGUGCAGUAAAGGGCUGGGGCUUCUGGACAGAAGAGCAGCAGUUAGCCUGUUUUCUGGGUUGCAAGUAUUGCAGGAACAAACCAUGUGCAGUAAGUGCAACAUGCCUGAGACUUAACCUGUGCACAGACCAACUGUGAAAUGCCUGUGCAGUGAGUUUGACAGUUCUCAGAAGAAAAAUACCUUCUUUGUUGGAAGCUGUGGGUGAAGCUUCACACAGAUUUAUGUUAAUAAUGUAUUCCAAAAUGUUUUUCAUUGGCUUGCAUAUACUGUCUAGGUCUCCAGACCAGUAUAUAUAGAUUUAUAAGAAUGUCUGGGUAAGGAUUAUCCUUAUGAACCUGUGGGGUCCUUAUGUUUGAGCAUCAUUCCUUCUGUUGACUAACGGUGAUACUCUGUGCUGUGCAGAUGUGAUUCUUGCAGAG